rnacentral:lncRNA from 1 species
CGCGAGAAACAAUGUUUACUUCUUGACCAAUGACAGCAGCGAUCUGUUUCAUGAGAGGAUGUAUUAUUCCUUUCUAUUGUGUCGUUCAAGUUAAGAAUAGAAUGGCACAACGUAGAACAAUCAAUAAAUUGCAAUCACAACAAAUUUCAAUAAUUCUGAUAGGGGGCUUGUAGUAGGCUAUAAAUAUUUUUUGGAAUUCAAUGUGAUACACAGCUGUUUCAAUAUACCUCAUCACUACGAAUUGUUCUUUUUAGGUGUGUGUGACGUUUAGAAGUCUAUCACAAAAAUGAUAGAGUUUCAUAAUCAUCUGUUAUGUCAUUGCCGGAGGCGAGAUGAAUCGGAUUUGUGAUUUCUAAAAUCCCAUCUUGUUUUGAAUGAUGUUUAUGUGAUGGAUAUAUGUGAGAUUCAAAGAUUUGCAGUGCAUAUGAGACCUAUAAAAGUAAAGUUUUUAAGAUGUGUUUUGUGCUGGAACAACAUGAUAUUUAUCGUGAAGAUGAAGAUAAAGCUUCAUUAUCCUCUUGAAUUUAAAAAGAGUUAGAAAUCUGCGUCCUCAUCGUACAUCAUAGAUUUGGUCCGCAAUUGCAUCCAUUCAGAACCUGAAGUUAUUUCUGUUGUUGAAUGACUAUUGUUUGAACCAUUGGAUUAGAACUCUCCUAGCCGUUUGAUAAUGCCGA